CACGUAGGGACCAAGUGUUGUCCGGAUUCAUUGGGCGUAAAGAGCUCGUAGGCGGUUCGGUAAGUCGGGUGUGAAACCUCCAGGCUCAACCUGGAGACGCCACCCGAUACUGCCGUGACUAGAGUCCAGUAGGGGAGCGUGGAAUUCCUGGUGUAGCGGUGAAAUGCGCAGAUAUCAGGAGGAACACCAGCGGCGAAGGCGGCGCUCUGGACCUCUUCUGACGCUGAGGCGCGAAAGCCAGGGGAGCAAACGGG
rnacentral:rRNA from 1 species